UACGUAGGGUGCAAGCGUUAAUCGGAAUUACUGGGCGUAAAGCGUGCGCAGGCGGUUAUGUAAGACAGUUGUGAAAUCCCCGGGCUCAACCUAGGAACUGCAUCUGUGACUGCAUAGCUAGAGUACGGUAGAGGGGGAUGGAAUUCCGCGUGUAGCAGUGAAAUGCGUAGAUAUGCGGAGGAACACCGAUGGCGAAGGCAAUCCCCUGGACCUGUACUGACGCUCAUGCACGAAAGCGUGGGGAGCAAACAGG
rnacentral:rRNA from 1 species